rnacentral:lncRNA from 1 species
AUGAGUAAGGGGGGAAGUCCUCCUGCCUGACUACCUUUGAACUGGGACAUGUGCCUUUUUUUUCUGCCUUCAGACUCAAACUAAACGUCAGCUUUUCCCGGCUCUCAAGCCUGCUGGUCCCUGAACUAAAACUCACAUUAUCAACUCUACUGGUUCUUAGGCCUUUGGAGUCAGACUGGAACUACAGCAUUGACUCUUCCGGAACUCCAGCUUACUGACUACAGAUCUUGGAACUUUUCAGCUUCCACAACCAUAAUGAAAGCCAAGCAUAUUCCAUCAUUUCCUAAAACCAAGAUAGAGCACAUAUGGGAACUUGUGAAAUAAGGAUGCCCUGCGGUUGUUUUCAGGACUGAAGACAACAGCUCCACGAUGUAUCUUUGCAUAAGAAUACACUUGUAUAAUAAGUUUUUUUUUUUAGAGAAAUUGCAUGUAUCUGCCUUAUAAACUUUUUCAUUCAUUCAUUUUCUUUCUUCCUAAUCUGUUCCAUAAAGCAAAUUUCUAACUUAUUGUUAAUCAAAAUAAUUAUUGAAAUAAUUAGUACUUUCAUAUGAUAAAGAUUAUUUUAAUCUGCAGCUACAAAAUAUGUAACUCAUUAAUAUUUAAACAAUCACAAUUUUCUAUUAACAUUAUAGCAUUUUAUCUACUACUAGAUCAGGAAUUAGCUAUUUUUUGUAAAAUUUCUUUGUAAGGCAAAGCAAUAGUAUUGUAUAUACUUUCCUAAAGAUUGUCAAGUUCAGUUUUGCUUAAAUUUAACAGUACAUGUGACACUUUCUGUUUGAAGAAUAAGUUGGUUUUAAGUUUAUACCAAACAAAAGCAUCUCUUUUGUUUUGCAAAAUCUGAAACUUUGAUCUUUCUAGUUGUGACUUCUUGUAAAUAUGUUUUAUAUAAAUAUUCUAUGAAUUGGUUAUUAACAAGGUAAAGAAAGAUUGAUAUGUAAGCUGAUUCUUAAACAUUAAUUUUCUGGAGAUAAACUUUUUUAAAAUUAUGCUUUAAAAAUAUUUUAACACAUGUUAUCAAAAAGGAACUGAAAUAUCUUAGGCAUAAAAGACAUCUCUAGAGGUCAUUAUUCAGUUUCCAGAAAGUACUGAAACUAUCUCUGACAGAUUGAUACGUUUUCUGCAUUUAUAGCUCUCUGGAGAGAGGUUCUGUAUAUUUAACAAUUCUCACUGUGAGGGAUAUUUUAAGUAUUUCAAAUUUAAAGUGCUCAUGUUUCAGAUUCAGAUUAUUAUUAUCAUCAUCAUUAUUUUGGUUCUGGCUUCAGUAAAAAUGUGAAAAAC